GCUUACGACCACACCGGCCUGAGUACGCCUGAUCUCGUCUGAUCUCGGAAGCUAAGCAGGGUCGGCCUGGUUAGUACUUGGAUGGGAGACCGCCUGGGAAUACGGUGCUGCUGUAGGGA
rnacentral:rRNA from 1 species